rnacentral:rRNA from 1 species
UACGAAGGGGGCUAGCGUUGUUCGGAAUUACUGGGCGUAAAGCGCACGUAGGCGGACUUUUAAGUCAGAGGUGAAAUCCCGGAGCUCAACUUCGGAACUGCCUUUGAUACUGGAGGUCUUGAGUAUGGAAGAGGUAAGUGGAAUUCCGAGUGUAGAGGUGAAAUUCGUAGAUAUUCGGAGGAACACCAGUGGCGAAGGCGGCUUACUGGUCCAUUACUGACGCUGAGGUGCGAAAGCGUGGGGAGCAAACAGG